rnacentral:lncRNA from 1 species
CGGGUGGGAUGUAGACUGGACAGAUGAGCUGACAUCAAAAUAGUCCCGAUAGACGGCUAGUAUAUCUGCAACCGGCUUGAGCCACCGCCAAAAGCGCACAUUUCCAUAGAACCACCGGUAACUACGGCUGCCCUUGGCCACAAGAGCUUUGCCUUCUCUGCUUCGCAUCAUCUUCUUCCCCUGUCUUCGAGCCUUCCAAAUUUCAGGACUGCACCCCUUGCUGAAACUCUGGUGGAACCCUAAAUCCUCCUCACAUUUCCAAGCGAAACCCAAAGCCAUUGUGCAUCCUCAACCCUUCCGAAACUUUGCUGGCACAAACCCAAGUUACCCCUCCCUCUCAUCUUCCCACCUCCCCGCCCACGCGCUGUUCCCUCUCAGGCUUCAGCUUCUCCAUGGAUCCCAGUUUCUCUACUCGCUGCGGGGUCUCCCCAAGGCAUUGCGCUGCCACAGAUCAGCGCAUGCGUUGGAGUGGGGCCCGGUGCACAUGGUGCGACGAGAGGGGGGGCCCUAGGGGCCUGGGGAGGGUCUGGGGAGGGUCUGGGGAGGCUGAAGUGGGUUUUACUUGGGCAAAUAGUUACACUACGAACAGCCAAGAGGAGGGGAGUUGCAGAUUUCCCCCUCCCCCUCCACCCCAUCACCCAGGUGUUUGCCGCGGCAGCUGACCUGGACACGUUUCUGUCCACCCUCAAGUACGUGGAGGUGGAGGAUAUGGCAGCUGGAGGCGGAGGUGGAGGGGCGGAGGGGACGGCAAGUGGAGCAGGAGCAGCAACACUACACCAGAUGAAUCCGGCUGCAGCAACAGCCUCCAUCACUACCGCUAUCACCACCACUACUACCACCACCGCUACUGCCCCAGCGGCCCCAGCAGGAGCCAUGCCUGCGGGGGAUGCCACACACACACAGGAGCCACAACCACCCUCCCUCGUAAGGGACGCCGCAUCCACUACCACCACUACCACAGCUGCCAGCGCCACGACGGAUACCAAUAAGAUCGGGGAGGAGGUGGAAGUGGAGACCGGGCUCGGAGGUGGUGCAGCAGCAACAACAACAACAACAGGAGCAACAGCAACAGCAGCGGGUUCCAGAGGAGUGAGGGCUGGCGACAGGGAGGGCAGUCUGGGGGGUAUGCAGUGGGCGGUGGCAGCGGCGCGGCUGCUGGCAGCGGCGGAGGCCGCGGACGGUAAGAGUAGUGCCGGAUCCAUUUGCAUGUAACUCGAUACGCGUCAGGGUUGCUGAGAGGCUGGCCCCUCCCCCUACACACACAAACACACCUCCUGGGGGAUGGGAUCAAUGUUCCUUCCUCCUCCACCUCUCCAAUCCGGCCCCCAUUCAGCAUUCUUCAUAUCCUUAUAGUACCUACUUGCCUAGGGAUUUCUCAUCCCAUCUGCACCAUUUAUGAAAGUCGUCAACAUCAACACCAUCGCCAUUACAAAGGAUAUCAUGAUCACGUCAUACUCCCAACCCCCUUUUGAUGUAUGAUGCAUCUCACCACCAAUUUACCACCCCCGUCCUGCCCUGCCCUACCCUCCCUCCUUGUCCCAAAUCCCUAGCAGCAGAAGCACAACUCGACGCAUUGCGAGUGGCACCUGAAGGACUGCCAGCGAAGGGAGGCUCCGCCGGCGGAAGUGGCCCAGCAGCAGCAGCGCCAGCAGAAGCAGCAGCAGCUGGCGGCGGUGACGACGGUCGGCGGCUUGGCGGCUUCUUCCGUAGGCCAGCCUGGUCGCGUUGGUGGGCCGCUGGUUCAACGACGGCGACUGGGGCGGUGGCGACGGCAGCAGUCGCGGCGACGGUGGUGGCGGUCUUAAUCAAGGGGAUGCGAGGGAGAUGGGCGCGCGGCGGCGGACGUGGCGGCAGUGGCGGGGAGGGCGUGUAGCGCAGCGCAGUAUUGGGGGCCGCUGCGGGAAAAUACUGAAGGAUAGUUAAUUGACGUGAUGAAGGAUGGGAUUCGUGCGUGCGUGUUUGCGUGGGUGGAAGGGGCCCCGCUGGGAUGACCUUCCCCUGGCGGGUGGAUGGAUGUGCAACAGGGGCUAAGGAAGAGAGGAGGAGAGGGGAGAUGAGGGAGGAGGAGAAGAAAGGAAAGGGGAGACGAGGAGGGGGAAAAAGGAGAGGAAGAAGGUUGACCAGCUACAGUAAAUAAUGCAGUAGUAGGAGUCCCUGAUGCGGCUCCGUCCCUCCAGGAAAUACAAAGAUGGGCGCACACUGAGCUGGUGUGUGGUUGCGUGGAUACCGUGGGGUGGGUGCACAUACACACACGUGCGCAUACAUGCAUACAUACAUAUAUACACGAACACACAAACCACGUGAUCUAAGAUCGCAAGCUAUUAAAAUACACCCUGACAAACGCUCAGGUAACACAUUGCGCAAGAGGCCAUGCAAGGGAGGAAAUAAGUGCGCCAACUCGAUGCAAACCUAUCCCACAACACGUCUACGUGACCCUCCCACCACGCACAUACACACAGAACACACGCACACAACCUCGUGCGUGCUGUCGUUGAUCUGUGAUCCUCUUUCUGUAAUGUGACAUGGCGGCCAGAGGGAUAUCAAGUUUGUAUGUGGGGUGGGGGUGGGGUGGGGAGGGGAAAACCGCAUUAGGAAGCUGCUCAACACGUACCCAGCACGCCGACUAACCUAAGGAAUUGUCUGCCGCUGUCCCGCGGAAAGCCUCCCGGGAAAGGCCCUCGGGGAUGUGUUUUUUAAUGUGUAAAAAAUGUGUGUGUGUGUGCUCUAUUCUGAACAAUGUGCCACACAUACACAUAUACGUACGCACAUACAAAACCUGUGUAUGUAUGUAUGUGUGGCACAUUGACACGGUGGGGGGUUGCGUAAAGUCCGGAGUUUGGGGGUUUAAGACGAACCACGGACCGGACUUUGGGGCCCGGGUAUUAAAAGAUUGUAGGUGGUUGCGUGGGUGCGGCUUUCGGCUGAGAGUGUCCGAGCCGCAAGAAGGGGACGCAGGAAGAUUUCGGAUUCAUACAUGCGGUUGUUAUGUGUGGUACGGGGUGCGCCGCGCGGAACGAGACGUCCAGUCCGCACCAGGACUGGCGGGAGGCCGGACGUGCGUCUCCUUGAAUGGGUGGUGUAGUGGAGUUGAGUGGGUGGGUGGGUGGGCUAAGACGCCAAAUAAAGCAGUCAGCAGCCUGCUCUGCCGCAGUGGUGCUGCCGCAGCCUGCUCUGCCGCAGUGGUGGGGCACGUCAGGAGGUUUGGCUACCUUGGCUUGGAUCUGUUGGGGUGUGUAGCUGUGAGCUGGGCUUCUUAGGCACCGAGAGAGUUCCUAAAAGGCCUGUCCAGAACCACCAGGGAGGGCGGCGGCACCUCCCACCGUGGCAAGACAAGAGGGGCACGCGGCUGAUGCGGAUAUGUCUGAGCGACGUAUCAUGUGCUGCGGCCGUCGCCUGCCCAGGGGUUGCCCAGGCGGCUGUCUCUGUCCCUUUGGGGCCCCCUUCCUUUCUGUCUGCCUCUUGGUCUGCGGAUCUGCGGCCCCCCUCUCUCUCUCCCCUCUCUCUUUCUCCCCUCCCUUUCCCCCUUCGGUAGAGGCUGGUCGUUAACUGGUUCCCCGCGUGCACUGAGAGAGAGAGAGAGAGAAGUAGCUUGGAGGAGAAGUAAGGAGGAAACGCAAGGUCAAGCCAGGUGCCGGCGGCCGUAAGGUUGGGGCGCCGUGGUGGCAGACGUUUGGGAGGUGUGUUGCGGGGGGAUGUGGUACGGUUAGGGAUAUAGCGGUGGUGCUGAUGGAAGCUGCGGUAAUGUUUUGCUCGCUGGCGUCAUAUUGCAGAGCGUCAUUUCGUCAUCCGCGCAUACACACACACACAUUCACACAACCAUACGUGGCCAACUUUGUUGGUGUUUCCUGCGUCGAAGUACUGAAUUGGGCGUGUGGUUCUGAGUAUCGUGUCGUACGCUUGUGCUGUACACUCGCCGGGUCGUACACGCUUUGUGUCACGUCUCCUGUGCGCAUGCAUGUAUUCGUGCUGGCGGCGGGUGUGUAUGUUAGCUCGUAUGUGUGUCUGUGUGUAUGUCUGUAUUGCGGCAUUUUACUGCUGCCCAACAGCUGCUGCAGCAUCUUACGAUGCGUGUUGGGGUGUUUUCUUCAUACAACAACCCGUAAUACCCAUGUCUGCAGAAGAAGAUUGACAGGAGUUGAAAAGAAGUAAACGCCGGAAAUGGAAGGACUAAAAAUGAGGAGUCCUCAUCCCUUUUGCCCUUUGGCCUAGGCGAGACUCAGCAGGCCCCAGUAACUGCAUUAAAAUGCCGCGCAGCCCGCAAGCUCGAUGAAAAUCAGCAGCAGGUUUGCGCCAGACGGGAAAUCGUCACGUUGAACACCUAACAAACAUGGAAAAGCAUCAAAGUUGGCAAAGCGGUCGUCUUUCACAGCAUCAACAUGCUUUGCGUGUGAAUCUCAGCGCGCACACGAACCAACAAUUGCCUAAAUAGCCUUCAUGGGGAACAAGUCGGGUAUCGGCUUCCUCGAAGCCGAAAAAAGGGCGGGGGCCCCCUGCGUCCGUACAGGCCGGUAGCUAUGGCGGCACGUAUGACAAUUGAUGUGUCAACGUGGUGGGAGCUUUGUCUGUUGCAGCAGUGCUGAUGCUGUGGGAGCUAUGCUUCCGCCCCACAGCCGCGAGCUUCAUCGCGGCACACUGCAACUCUUCGGAGGCCCCGAGCAUUGGCCCAAGUAUUUGUACAAACGAGCAGCUUGCGUACUUCAUAGAGAAAUGGAAGCAAAUUUGCCGGCCUGCUGGUGGCAAGUCGGAAUGCCCGUGCGGGCAAAUGGUAACGCAAGCUGGGUGUUCGAGUUCUCAUACGCCGUCAUAGCAGAAUUCAAUUUUGAGCUACGCGGCACCGAGAGGCGUUGAUGUAACUUUGACCUCGGUCAAUGGAGGCAGCCAAACUUGUUUGUGCUCACACGAUUUUUGUUGGCCACAGGCGAGAUACCUUGCAAUAGAGAAUGCAUUUUAUUACCUAUAACGCGCUUCACCCGGGCGAGAUAUUAUGUUUGGUCCGUUUUACACACACACACACACACACACACACACACACACACACACAGACACACACACACACACACACACCACCCACCCACCCACACACACACACACACACACACAGACACACACACACACACACGGACAUGGGCGCUCCUACAGGGCGGGGCCCCCCUGGGCGCUUCGCGCUGGGGCCCCGCCCAAAAAGGUCCCGGGACUUGGGAAUACCAGAAGGAAUGAAACAUGGACGAAGCCCUUUUAAGAGUAAUUAAAGGACAGCAUGAUAGACCCUCAUGGACAUCACAAAUAUUGCAGGACGUUAUGCCGUUUAUGCUGCGAUGCCCAUCGAAGCCCUUCGGCGGCCCUCAGCCCUUCGUGUGAAUGGGCCCUAGCCAGCGGCGUUGCAGGCUACCGUACCAGCGAGUGCUUGCGCAUGGGGUUCUUUGUACACGGCUGCUUGCCCUGACCCACCACAGGGGUAGGAAUUACGCAGAAAUCAAGCAUGACAUCGACUGAGUCUGGACCAGCCCGAAGGACGAAGGGCUUCACCUUCCGCUGGUGUUCGUGACUGGGACCUUCUGGGUCGGGUCUUAAUGUUUAGGUAAUGGAGGUUACCGUGGGAGGCGAGCGUGGGAGACAUUCUCAGCUCACAGCAAACAAGGUGUGUAAGAGUGUGUAUGAUGACAUGGUGGGCAUUGACGCAUGUUCAAUUGGGAUUGCGAGGGAUCUUGCGUCGCGACCAACAGCGAGGGGAAUCGCGUGCGUCGGGGCCGUGUGAGCUUCUCGAGGUCUUCAUCUUGAAGGCGUUUUCUUUUACAAACAAUGCUUUGGGUCUGCUACCGGCAUGCCGCGGGGUGCAGCAACUGUGUCAAAUGUAUGUAAGUUUGUGUGUUUCCACAGAGUGACAAAAUAAGGCAUGGGGAAGGAAAGAUUUGGCAGGCAUUCCGAGCUUUCAGUUGCACGCCGAAGGCGCCCGACUGCUUCGCUUGGCAUAUAUAGCACAACGGCGAUCACGCCGACUCAUCCGACAUGCUUCAGAGUGUAUAAUUGCAUGUAAUGCAGAAACCUAUACAUUUUUUCUUCGCAACGAUACAACGAGCCCAUGGUUUAGGGGCAAGUGGCGCAGUCAAAAGCUCCAUGCAAUAUCUCCCUAGUUUCAUCCUUUCGGAAAAAAUUAAAAAGAUAGCAUUGAGCUUGUAGCCGGGAGGAGUGUCGCGCGUGACCAGUUACAUAUCCAAUUAAAACCUCGGUAUGCAAGACAUCCACUCAUGGCAUAAGGUUGCACAAAAUAUCAGAGCUACUAGUGAACUUGUUUUUUCCAAAGACAAUUAGCGGUUAUUUAGGUUAGUUAUAUUCCAGUCAAUUUGGGUACGUUGUGCCGUACCACCUGAGCUACUUUCCUAUGAAGCAGGGUUUCUAUUCAUAAACAGGAUGUCAGACACGUUAACUCUCAGCUUGCAUUGCGCAUAUUGCAGCUGCCUUGCCGUUGGUGCCAUCGCUAUAGGCCAAAACUGGCAUAGGAGCGAGCUUAUGCUGCAGGCAUAAACCUAGGCAUAACCUGCAGUUCAGUGUAGUCUUUAGAUUUGAACCAGAUUUUCAUAAGCCCAGAGAAACGGGUCCAAGUUUUUACUGAUAGUUAAGUCGCAGGCGGUCAUGCCACAGCGCGCCAACCAUUCGGCCGGCGGAAAACCGGGUGGGCACCAACGUUUUUGCCUUCCAGAAAGGCCGAAGCUUCGUCAUGUGGCCGGGGACGAACUGCCUGAUAGCGGCACAUCCUUGAACACAAUCCGCUGGUUCACUUGCAAAUGCCGACUCGCCGCUUCAUCCUUAAACCUUGCAAUUUGUGAGGGACAUGACCUGUAUAUUGUGCACAACCUUAGGGAAGGCGACCCACGGCGUGCUGGACCUCGACCUCGACGAUGUUGAGGGAGUAAUUGAAAUUCUUAUUGAUUCGGACGACUGCAACGAUGAUGACGAUGACUGCAUGGAUUCCAGCAUGACCAACGAGGGUAUAUUCAGCUCGUCCCAUGAAGUUUUCGUUGUUCGCGGGUUAAGCAAGGCCGUGUCUGGAUUUAGGCCCGCAAUUACUUGCGAAGGCUUCCUGGCCAGCGUCUCACGUUCUUGCUCAGGUGGGUUGUCGCACGAGUCCUACCAACUCGCGGGUGCAUUGUUCCCAGGCCGAGAACGUUCUGGCACAAUAUGACCCAGAUCCAAGACAUGUCUUUUCUCUGUCCCAGAGCGUGUCCCCUGUUUAGAGCCCAGACUCUGCAGGCACGCGGGCACCUGUACAUGCCCUCACAUACACACACAUACACACCUUCGUGGGAAACUUGUGCGUCCCGUGUCAUCCCCUUUUUCGCCCUUUGGACAGCGGGUUGUCUUGUAGGAGCCCAAUUUACUUGAUGUAGGAUUAAUCUUAGCUUGCUCCUGCGGAUGCAAACAUACGGUCACUGGUACAAUUCCCUGGUUUUCGAGGCCAGUCGACAUUUAGGACCGGAAUGCCUUCCCUUCGUCCUUUUCCCUCUUACCCAUCCCAUGUCAUGGUGCACCUUUUGGUACGUAUCUUGCCUGAAGGCUACACUCUUUUGCCACGCGGCACGGACCAGCAACUGAGUUUCAAGUACGAGCCGCCGUCCGCCAAAUUUAGCUGCAGACGACCCGGCUGUAUAUCAUACAGGUAAGCAUACUACGUAAAGCUUGCGUGCUGUGGGCUUUUAUUUCUAUGCGCGUCAUUGUGUGUCUGUAUUCUGUACUCCGCCCCUCCUGUUGUGGGUGCUCUGUGGUGGUCAUGGUCAACUCUGUCCACCUGCGAAAAUGAAGCAGAGCUGAAUUGCUUUCCACACAUAAGAUCGGGUUAUACUAACGGAGUGGUUUCCAAUGCGCCAGCUGUGGCAGCAUUUCGGGAUUAGGGAGCAGUAGCACAGCAGCACAGCAGCUGCCAGUGCUCACGGCAAUCCCGCAGAGCCGCAGCCAGGCCCUAGAAACCCAUCCCGCAUACCGCAGUAAGAAAUCGCCGACUUUGCGUUUUUGUACAAAGCUUUGGAGCACUGCCACAUUUUCACAGAUCGGCGGCAAUGGAUUCCCCCCCAUAUCAAACCUCCUUGACUGGUGACGAGGCGUCGCCAACCCCCACGCCUGCUUCGCCCGCACCCCUCUCGUUCCCCUUUCCCCCGCGUCCUUUGUAGCCCAACUCCCCUCUCAUCUUCCCACCUCCCCGCCCACGCGCUGUUCCCUCUCAGGCUUCAGCUUCUCCAUGGAUCCCAGUUUCUCUACUCGCUGCGGGGUCUCCCCAAGGCAUUGCGCUG